AGCAAAGACCAGCUGCUAUGGAU
rnacentral:snRNA from 1 species